GUGGACUAAAUAUGAUUUCUUUUUAAGAAGGUGAAAAAACGCACUGUUUCGUUUUUUGCCGGCGACAUUUUACGCCUUUCCGAAAAUUUCCGACAUUUCAUCUUCUCAAAUGGCAUUCUCCGUCCGUCAUCUGCUUUCUCCCACCUCCGUCUCAGCGGUGUAUCUCGGCCCUCUCCCUGUUAUUGGUCUCCCUCUUCACUGUCAUUUGCAUAUGUCGGACCUAAGAGGCCGAGGCAAGGCAAUGGUUCGGGCUAUGGAGCCCUUGGAACUAAUCAACAGGGAAAGGAUUGUAGCAUAGAAAAGAUCCAGGAAGAAGUUUCUAAAGAAACAAGAGAAAGUAGUGAUGAGUACUGAGAAAAAACAGGGGGUGCUGCAAGUGUUCUUUCAGAAAUGGAGUCCGAAGUUGUACUUAACCAGACCUUCUGUAACAAAUAGAUGGUUACUAUAAGAUGAAAUGGUCAUCUUCCUCAUUACGCUGUACCAGAGAGAAAAAUAGAAGUGGGCAAAUCUACACAAAGACUUGAGACACAAUGACAAGGAAUCUUGCUUCCAUCAUUGUCAUGUGCCUGUCCGAACAGAAAUCUAUGAGAAGUAUAUAAUCAAAUGGCAUUCUUGCAGGCUUGCAGUUCUUUUUCUUAGAAUGCAUGCUCUCCAUGCUUCACAAAUGAGCUUACUAUCUGUCAAUGUAAUGUGUAGUUUAGUAAUAAGAAGAUCUAGUAAAUCUGCAAAACAUGUAAUAGUCAAAUAAGAACUAGGAUGUGGGUCAGGUGAUUUAAAUUUUUCUCUGAUGAAGGUGAUGAGAUUGACAUGGACAGGGGUGGACGGUGGGCAGGGCUGGCAGGGGCCAUGGCCACCCCUCAGAUUUUUUAAAAAAAAAAAUUUACAUGUAAAUUUUAAAAAUGUUAGUUUAACUGUUUAAUCUAUAUAAAAAUUUUGAAAAAAUAUAUCUCGGCCCCGAAACUAUAGUUUUGUUUCUGCAACGAAAAACUCAUAGCUCUGCACUGGACAUGGACAGAUUCAUUUCUCACUGUGCCCCUUCAUCAGUAGCCAGAGCACAUUUUCUCAUGCUGCAUUAGUUGGUUUUCUUGUUACUUUCUGUCGAGGUGUACAAAUUUCUACUUCCCUCUGUUGUUCUUAUUACCUAACAUUGACUUUUACCAUUCUGGAUGUUUAGCUGGUAUCUUCUCAUUUUUGUUUUCCUUUUUCUUGGAA